rnacentral:rRNA from 1 species
GACGAACGCUGGCGGCGUGCUUAACACAUGCAAGUCGAACGGUGAAGGGACUGGUUUUGCUGGUCCUGGAUGAGUGGCGAACGGGUGAGUAACACGUGAGUAACCUGCCCCCUUCUUCUGGAUAACCGCAUGAAAGUGUGGCUAAUACGGGAUAUUCUGGGUCUGUCGCAUGGUGGGCCUGGGAAAGAUUGCGCCUUUUUUGGUGUUUUUGGUGGGGGAUGGGCUCGCGGCCUAUCAGCUUGUUGGUGGGGUGAUGGCCUACCAAGGCGGUGACGGGUAGCCGGCCUGAGAGGGUGGACGGUCACACUGGGACUGAGACACGGCCCAGACUCCUACGGGAGGCAGCAGUGGGGAAUAUUGCACAAUGGGCGCAAGCCGGAUGCAGCGACGCCGCGUGAGGGAUGGAGGCCUUCGGGUUGUGAACCUCUUUCGCCAGUGAAGCAGGCCUGCCUCUUUGUGUGGGUGGGUUGACGGUAGCUGGAUAAGAAGCGCCGGCUAACUACGUG